CUUUUUGCUGCGUAUUACAAUGUAUUUUACAACUGAUCAAACCUCCCUUUAUCUAGUAGGGGAAUCCUAUUCUUGAUACAAUUUUAUAAAAGAUAACCAGUCUCAUGAUUUGCUAAUUAAUCGGCCUCCCCUUGAUACUUCCGAGAUUUCCGCCGUGGUCUCCAACCGAUCCUGGAUAUUUCGGCCAUCCGUUAUUUGGCUCAACAAAGUCCCCUCGAUCUUGUUUAGUCCUGGAGUCAUAAGCUCAACGAUUUAACUUUGUGCCUUGGUUCCAUAUAACCGGAGCUCGAGCUCUGACCUAUCACGUUUCAACCUCAGUUGAUCAUACAAUGGAAGAACCCAAUUUCGACCGUAUAUAAUUACAUAUAAAAACCAUCAACUGAGGACGUUUUAAUUAAUUGAAUUGAAUUGAGGUGAUAGAUGAUUAGUUGAUCUCCAAAAAAGGGAGGAGGAUCAGUCUCAUCAAUGAAGUGGUAAACAAUUUCGUAUAAGAGUUUUAGUUAUAUACACAUUUAGUAUAAAUAAUUUGAUCAUAUUUACCUGUUAUAGUAUAGGUAAUCUAUUGUUGAAUCUCACAUUGGUUGGAUGAGGGUUAUGUAGUCUCUUUAUGGUCUUGGGCUCCGCACUUCAUGAGCUAGCUUUUGCAAUUGGGUUAGACCCCAAGAAUCAUUUAAUAUUGUAUCAGAG
rnacentral:lncRNA from 1 species